rnacentral:rRNA from 1 species
GACGAACGCUGGCGGCGUGCCUAACACAUGCAAGUCGAACGGAAAACAUAGCAAUAUGUUUUUAGUGGCGAACGGGUGAGUAACGCGUAGACAACCAACCUUUUUGUGGGGGACAACACUUCGAAAGGAGUGCUAAUACCGCAUACGCUCCAGAUGCCGCCUGGUAUUUGGAGGAAAGGAGCUCCACGGCUUCGCAAAAAGACGGGUCUGCGUCUGAUUAGCUAGUUGGUGGGGUAACGGCCCACCAAGGCGACGAUCAGUAGCCGGUCUGAGAGGAUGGACGGCCACACUGGGACUGAGACACGGCCCAGACUCCUACGGGAGGCAGCAGUGGGGAAUCUUCCGCAAUGGACGAAAGUCCGACGGAGCGACGCCGCGUGAGUGAUGAAGGCCCUUGGGUCGUAAAGCUCUGUCAUCAGGGACGAACGGUCACGUCAGGAAAUGGGCGUGAAUUGACGGUACCUGAGAAGGAAGCCACGGCUAACUACGUGCCAGCCGCCGCCGUAAUAC